rnacentral:rRNA from 1 species
CCUACGGGAGUCAGCAGUGGGGCAUAUUGCGCAAUGGGCGAAAGCCUGACGCAGCGACGCCGCGUGAGGGAUGAAGGUCUUCGGAUCGUAAACCUCUGUCAGCAGGGAAGAACGGUCACUGUGCUAAUCAGCAGUGAAUUGACGGUACCUGCAAAGGAAGCACCGGCUAACUCCGUGCCAGCAGCCGCGGUAAUACGGAGGGUGCGAGCGUUAAUCGGAAUUACUGGGCGUAAAGCGCUCGUAGGCGGUAUGUCAAGUCAAGGGGGAAAUCCCCGCGCUCAACGUGGGAACUGCCUUUGAAACUGGCAAACUGGAGUGUGUGAGAGGAUAGUGGAAUUGCAGGUGUAGGAGUGAAAUCCGUAGAUAUCUGGAGGAACAUCAGUGGCGAAGGCGACUAUCUGGCACAUAACUGACGCUGAGGAGCGAAAGCGUGGGUAGCAAACAGGAUUAGAUACCCCAGUAGUC